GACGAACGCUGGCGGCGUGCCUAAUACAUGCAAGUCGAACGCAGGGGGGACGGGUGAGUAACAAGUGGGUAACCUCCCAUCAGAGGGGAUAACACUUGGAAACAGGUGCUAAACCGACACUGAGGGAUGGAACAGCGGUGCAUUAGCUUGUCGGUGAGGUAACGGCCCACCAAGGCCACGAGGCAUAGCCGACCUGAGAGGAUGAUCGGCCACACUGUGACUGAGACACGGCCCAGACUCCUACGGGAGGCAGCAGUAGGGAAUAUUCGGCAAUGGACGAAAGUCUGACCGAGCAACGCCGCGUGAGUGAAGAAGGUUUUCGGGUCGUAAAACUCUGUUGUUAGAGAAGCGGUAUCUAACCAGAAAGCCACGGCUAACUACGUGCCAGCAGCCGCGGUAAUUC
rnacentral:rRNA from 1 species